rnacentral:rRNA from 1 species
CAGCAGCCGCGGUAAUACAGAGGGUGCGAGCGUUAAUUGGAUUUACUGGGCGUAAAGCGUGCGUAGGCGGCUUCUUAAGUCGGAUGUGAAAUCCCUGAGCUUAACUUAGGAAUUGCAUUCGAUACUGGGAAGCUAGAGUAUGGGAGAGGAUGGUAGAAUUCCAGGUGUAGCGGUGAAAUGCGUAGAGAUCUGGAGGAAUACCGAUGGCGAAGGCAGCCAUCUGGCCUAAUACUGACGCUGAGGUACGAAAGCAUGGGGAGCAAACAGGAUUAGAUACCCGGGUAGUCCCUGUCUCUUAUAC